GACGAACGCUGGCGGCGUGCUUAACACAUGCAAGUCGAACGGAAAGGCCUGCUUUCCCUUGUGGAUUGCGGGUACUCGAGUGGCGAACGGGUGAGUAACACGUGAGUGAUCUGCCCCCAACUUGGGUAUAAGCCUGGGAAACUGGGUCUAAUUCCCGAUAGGACUGCAGGGUGGUGCCUGUGGUGGAAAACGAUUUUCUAGUGGGUGGGGAUGAGCUCGCGGCCUAUCAGCUUGUUGGUGGGGUAAUGGCCUACCAAGGCGGCGACGGGUAGCCGGCCUGAGAUGGUGGACGGCCACAUUGGGACUGGGAUACGGCCCAGACUCCUACGGGAGGCAGCAGUGGGGAAUAUUGCACAAUGGGCGGAAGCCUGAUGCAGCGACGCCGCGUGGGGGAUGACGGCCUUCGGGUUGUAAACUCCUUUCGACCGCGAGGAAGCCACCUGGUUGGAAGGGUGGUGACGGUAGUGGUAGAAGAAGCACCGGCUAACUACGUG
rnacentral:rRNA from 1 species